AUGAGUGGGCCACAACAGUGGGCCUCUUCACCUCCUGGCUUCUGGGUAGGUUUGGCUAAGGAGCGUCGUGGCUGGAGAUCUGAAGAUGGUCAGAGAUGGUCUCGGCUCUCCCACAAUGAGCUACCUCAAUACUCAAAGGCUUGCUGUGCUGAAGGUGUGUGCCUUGGAAACAAAGCAGAAUUGCUGUGACUUCGGCCCUUGCUCUGACAUGUGGUUUCUCUGGCUACAGCUCAGUAUUUGAACCUGAUUCUCCAGCUUCACGCAUAAGUCUCAGAGUCACUCAGACUUUAACAAUAACUUCAUCUUCUUCUUAUAAAUGAGGGUUCUAGUUUGCCACAUCCUCCUUAAUACUUGUUACUGUCCAUCUUUUUUAUUAUGGCCAUCCUAGCCCAAGUUGGUUGAUUUCUAUUGUUUGCUGCUAAAAUGACUGUGGAUAAUCUCAAAAUGAAUUAAAUCAUAAAUACUUCCUAGAAAACCCUCAUGUGUAACACUUCAUCUUCCAAGUUGAGAGAUUACUUUUGACUUGUGUGAGGACAGAGCAGGAAGAAGUCAACACUAUAUAACCCUGGAAGGCAAGUAGCAUUGGUGCAUGAGCCCAUAGGGAACUUCCCACACUUUUGGAAUGAAUACUUCCUGAACAUCUUUAGGCCCAACUACCAGGUACCAACUCUUGCAUAGUUUCUCUCUGGCUCCCAGAGUCCACAUAUGAGUCAGGCCACAAGUUCCAGGGAAUUAAUGUAUCUCGGGAGCAGCUUUCAACCAAUGACUGCUGGGAACUGGCAGAUCAACAUUCCAGAUCCCUCCUUCCUUGAGCAGCAGAGUAUUUUUUAAUUUUAUGUCUCAUUUUUUUAUUGAGAUACAGUUUACAUGCCAUACAACUCAUACUUAAAAAGUAUACAAUUAACAGUUUUUAGUAUAUUCAUACAGUUGUGCAACCAUCACUCCUAUUCAAUUCCAGAAUGUUCUUAUUACUCCAAAAAGAAACCCAGUAGUAGUCACUCCCCAUCCCACCCUCUCUCCAGCCCCUAGCAACCACUAACCUACUUUUGGUCUCUACAGAUGUGUCCUUUGGGGAAUUUCAUAUAAGUGGGAUCAUACAAUGUGUAGCCUUUUGUGACUGUCUUCUUUCACUUAUGUUAUCAAGAUUUCAUUCAGGUUAUAGUAUGUAUCAGUACUUCAUUCUUUUAAUUGCUAAAUAAUAUUCCAUUUUAUGGGUGUACCACAUUUUGUUUAUCCAUUUAUCAACUGAUGGAUAUUUGGGUUGUUUUCACUUUUGCUACUAUGGAUAAUGUUGCAUUCAUGUUUUUUUUUUU
rnacentral:lncRNA from 1 species